GAUGAACGCUGGCGGCGUGCCUAACACAUGCAAGUCGAGCGAUCUCUUCGGAGAGAGUGGCGGACGGGUGCGUAACGCGUGGGUAACCUGCCCUGUACACCCGGAUACCAUACCGAAAGGUAUGCAAAUACGGGAUAAUAUAUAAAAGUCGCAUGGCUUUUAUAACAAAGCUUUUGCGGUACAGGAUGGACGCGCGUCUGAUUAGCUAGUUGGUAAGGGAACGGCUUAACAAGGCGACGAUCACUAGCCGACCUGAAAGGGUGAUCGGCCACACUGGAACUGAGACACGGUCCAGACUCCUACGGGAGGCAGCAGUGGGGAAUAUUGCACAAGGGGCGAAAGCGUGAUGCAGCAACGCCGCGUGAGCGAUGAAGGCCUUCGGGUCGUAAAGCUCUGUCCUCAAGGAAGAUAAUGACGGUACUUGAGGAGGAAGCCCCGGCUAACUACGUGCCAGCCGCCGCGGUAA
rnacentral:rRNA from 1 species